AAAUGAGUGGGCAUGUGGACAGGACAGGCCUUCUCACCUGAAGUCCAGCUCGAGUCUCUUUCUGGGACCUGAAUGUGACUGCAGGGCAAGAGUCCCCCAUCUGGGUGUUGGAGCCUCAUUUGAAUCCCUCUUAUCAAUUCUCGCUCAGCACAGAACACUCGCUCUGGAGCACGGAAGGAGGAAAGGUUAGCCAAGGACACAAGGGGACAGCCUGUGGAAAAGAAGAUCUGGGCCUGGGAAGGUUCCUCUUCCUUCUGAGCCUCAAGAUCCCCAACUGAGCUAUGGGUGCAUUCUGCUGGAGGCAGGCUCCAAGAAGGGAACUUGGCCCUGGAGGAAGGGCAGGUGUUGGAUAUAGGGGGUCCUCACACCUGCAGAGACUGCACGUGCUGGUUAACCCGGUUGGUCUUUUCCUUCAAGCUGGUGAUGGAGUCUUUGGCGCGGACCAAUCCACUGUUGACCCCACUCUGGGAAAGAAUGGGAGACAGCUUACAUCAUUACUUAGACUGUGCAGAAUUAUAGUGAAUUUCUGAGUCAUCCCUUAAAGGAAAAGAGUGAGAACUUUCCCUUUUUCUCUCAUUUCACUGGAAUGCACAAUUGAGGGCUGUCUUGGACCAGCAGAUAGAGGACACAACGAGACAGAAGGAGCCUGAAUCCUUGACAUGGAGCCGCCAUACUCCAUUCCAACCACCUGUGAAGACUUUCAGGAGUCUUGCUCUUUUGUCAGGCUGGAGUGCAGUGGCGUGAUCUAGGCUCACUGCAACCUCUCCCUCCCAGGUUCAAGCAAUU